GACGAACGCUGGCGGCGUGCUUAACACAUGCAAGUCGAACGGAAAGGCCCUGCUUUUGUGGGGUGCUCGAGUGGCGAACGGGUGAGUAACACGUGAGUAACCUGCCCUUGACUUUGGGAUAACUUCAGGAAACUGGGGCUAAUACCGGAUAGGAGCUCCUGCUGCAUGGUGGGGGUUGGAAAGUUUCGGCGGUUGGGGAUGGACUCGCGGCUUAUCAGCUUGUUGGUGGGGUAGUGGCUUACCAAGGCUUUGACGGGUAGCCGGCCUGAGAGGGUGACCGGCCACAUUGGGACUGAGAUACGGCCCAGACUCCUACGGGAGGCAGCAGUGGGGAAUAUUGCACAAUGGGCGGAAGCCUGAUGCAGCAACGCCGCGUGCGGGAUGACGGCCUUCGGGUUGUAAACCGCUUUCGCCUGUGACGAAGCGUGAGUGACGGUAAUGGGUAAAGAAGCACCGGCUAACUACGUGCCAGCAGCCGCGGUGAUACGUAGGGUGCGAGCGUUGUCCGGAUUUAUUGGGCGUAAAGGGCUCGUAGGUGGUUGAUCGCGUCGGAAGUGUAAUCUUGGGGCUUAACCCUGAGCGUGCUUUCGAUACGGGUUGACUUGAGGAAGGUAGGGGAGAAUGGAAUUCCUGGUGGAGCGGUGGAAUGCGCAGAUAUCAGGAGGAACACCAGUGGCGAAGGCGGUUCUCUGGGCCUUUCCUGACGCUGAGGAGCGAAAGCGUGGGGAGCGAACAGGCUUAGAUACCCUGGUAGUCCACGCUGUAAACGGUGGGUACUAGGUGUGGGGUCCAUUCCACGGGUUCCGUGCCGUAGCUAACGCUUUAAGUACCCCGCCUGGGGAGUACGGCCGCAAGGCUAAAACUCAAAGGAAUUGACGGGGCCCCGCACAAGCGGCGGAGCAUGCGGAUUAAUUCGAUGCAACGCGUAGAACCUUACCUGGGUUUGACAUGGAUCGGGAGUGCUCAGAGAUGGGUGUGCCUCUUUUGGGGUCGGUUCACAGGUGGUGCAUGGCUGUCGUCAGCUCGUGUCGUGAGAUGUUGGGUUAAGUCCCGCAACGAGCGCAACCCUUGUUCACUGUUGCCAGCACGUUAUGGUGGGGACUCAGUGGAGACCGCCGGGGUCAACUCGGAGGAAGGUGGGGAUGACGUCAAGUCAUCAUGCCCCUUAUGUCCAGGGCUUCACGCAUGCUACAAUGGCUGGUACAGAGAGUGGCGAGCCUGUGAGGGUGAGCGAAUCUCGGAAAGUCGGUCUCAGUUCGGAUUGGGGUCUGCAACUCGACCUCAUGAAGUCGGAGUCGCUGGUAAUCGCAGAUCAGCAACGCUGCGGUGAAUACGUUCCCGGGGCU
rnacentral:rRNA from 1 species